rnacentral:rRNA from 1 species
UUUUAUGGAGAGUUUGAUCCUGGCUCAGGAUGAACGCUGGCGGCGUGCCUAAUACAUGCAAGUCGAGCGAACAGACGAGGAGCUUGCUCCUCUGACGUUAGCGGCGGACGGGUGAGUAACACGUGGAUAACCUACCUAUAAGACUGGGAUAACUUCGGGAAACCGGAGCUAAUACCGGAUAAUAUAUUGAACCGCAUGGUUCAAUAGUGAAAGACGGUUUUGCUGUCACUUAUAGAUGGAUCCGCGCCGCAUUAGCUAGUUGGUAAGGUAACGGCUUACCAAGGCAACGAUGCGUAGCCGACCUGAGAGGGUGAUCGGCCACACUGGAACUGAGACACGGUCCAGACUCCUACGGGAGGCAGCAGUAGGGAAUCUUCCGCAAUGGGCGAAAGCCUGACGGAGCAACGCCGCGUGAGUGAUGAAGGUCUUCGGAUCGUAAAACUCUGUUAUUAGGGAAGAACAAAUGUGUAAGUAACUAUGCACGUCUUGACGGUACCUAAUCAGAAAGCCACGGCUAACUACGUGCCAGCAGCCGCGGUAAUACGUAGGUGGCAAGCGUUAUCCGGAAUUAUUGGGCGUAAAGCGCGCGUAGGCGGUUUUUUAAGUCUGAUGUGAAAGCCCACGGCUCAACCGUGGAGGGUCAUUGGAAACUGGAAAACUUGAGUGCAGAAGAGGAAAGUGGAAUUCCAUGUGUAGCGGUGAAAUGCGCAGAGAUAUGGAGGAACACCAGUGGCGAAGGCGACUUUCUGGUCUGUAACUGACGCUGAUGUGCGAAAGCGUGGGGAUCAAACAGGAUUAGAUACCCUGGUAGUCCACGCCGUAAACGAUGAGUGCUAAGUGUUAGGGGGUUUCCGCCCCUUAGUGCUGCAGCUAACGCAUUAAGCACUGCGCCUGGGG